rnacentral:tRNA from 1 species
AGGGGUGUGGCUCAAUUGGUAGAGUGCUUGCCUAGCAAGCGUAAGGUCCUGGGUUCAAUCCCUAGCACCUCAG